UACAGAGGGUGCAAGCGUUGCUCGGAUUUACUGGGCGUAAAGCGUACGCAGACGGCCACGCAGGUCGGGUGUGAAAGCCCCGGGCUCAACCCGGGAAUUGCAUUCGAAACCAUGUGGCUUGAGUAUGGGAGAGGGAAGUGGAAUUCCUGGUGUAGAGGUGAAAUUCGUAGAUAUCAGGAGGAACACCGGCGGCGAAGGCGGCUUCCUGGCCCAUAACUGACGUUCAGGUACGAAAGCGUGGGGAGCAAACAGG
rnacentral:rRNA from 1 species